GAUGAAGAACGUAGCGAAAUGCGAUAAGUAGUGUGAAUUGCAGAAUUCAGUGAAUCAUCGAAUCUUUGAACGCACAUUGCGCCCUAUGGUAUUCCGUAGGGCAUGCCUGUUCGAGCGUCAUUCAAACCUUCAAGCUCUGCUUGGUGUUGGGCGUCUGUCCUGCCUCACGGCGCGGACUCGCCUCAAAUCUAUUGGCGGCCGGCACGUUGGCUUCGAGCGCAGCAGAAACGCGAACUCGAGACCGGCGGAUCGGCUCCCAGAAGCUACCCCCAUGAAUUUGACCUCGGAUCAGGUAGGGAUACCCGCUGAACUUAAGCAUAUAAUAAGCGGAGGA
rnacentral:misc_RNA from 1 species